CUUGCUGAGGUUUUUGUGGUUUGGGAUUUUUAUUUUUUUUUUUUCUUCAUCUGUCAUGGUAAUGCCUAGCAGACUUUAUAAAUAAGCUUGCUGUGUUAGGGACUGUACAAACUCAUCCAUCCCUGAACAACUAUUCUUUCAAACAAAGAAAUAAACUGUUCUUGUUACCUGUAGGCUGAACCUUAGAUGGGCCUUCACUGAUCAGAUGAAAAACCUCACAGCAAAGUUCCUUUUACAGACUACAGUUUUCUUUCACAGCCUCUUUCCAGCUCCAUUUCAACACUGACCCUCUAAGCUUUUGCCUCUCAUCCCUAACCAAUGCCUCACUAAUUCAUUUUAUCUUAAACUAUUAAUCACAGAGAUAGCUUGGAAGUAAAGCUAUUUAUGCUACGAUUAGCUAGAAGAGGGAAUGUACAAUUAGCACUGAAGAUGAGAACAGGUUUGAUGUGUAGCAGGUAGAACUAGUUGAAGAAACUUACUUGCUGAAGGUCUGCGAGAGAAUAAAGAUGGAUUUGCUGGAGAAGAUACUCUCUGGGAAAAAUCCUGGAAAAAGAGAAAAAUGGAUGUGUCACACCUUUUUGACCAUGAAACUCAAAGAUUUCCUCUCCUCACCAAAAGACUGCAGAACAAUAAUGCUAGAGAGACAAAGCUUGUCAAAAACUGGAAUUAUGUCAUCCUGUAAACACCAGCUACUUUUACAGCAUUCCUCAUGGGCACAGCAAUUCCACAAGAAGAAUGAAUGCUGUGCCAGUGUCAUUCUUCAACUGUCAGGAAAUAGCCUGAAUAGCCCAUAAGGCAGAAACUGUCAACGACCGAUAUCGAUGACUAACAUCACGUUCCCCUGCCGCCUUCAAGGACUGCAUUUUAUUUCCUGCAACUUCGAACCCCUAAUAAAAAGUGUGCAGAUGAAAAGCAAA